UACGUAGGGUGCAAGCGUUGUCCGGAAUUAUUGGGCGUAAAGAGCUUGUAGGCGGUUUGUCGCGUCUGCUGUGAAAUUUCGGGGCUCAACCCCGAACUUGCAGUGGGUACGGGCAGACUAGAGUGUGGUAGGGGAGACUGGAAUUCCUGGUGUAGCGGUGAAAUGCGUAGAUAUCGAGAGGAACACCUGCGGCGAAGGCGGGUUGCUGGGCCGACACUGACGCUGAUGCGCGAAAGCCAGGGGAGCGAACGGG
rnacentral:rRNA from 1 species